AUGCUCGCUUCGAGGCAAAUAACUAUGAAACAUGCAUGCGAGCACCAGCUGUUCUGGAAGACUGUGAUCACGCUCUCUGCAGCCGAUGUGAGUAAGACCUUUAAACAGGUCAACAUUCACAAGGCCGCGGGGGCAGACGGAUUACCAGGACGUGUACCACGAGCAUGCGCUGACCAACUGGCAAGUGUCUUCACUGACAUUUUCAACCUCUUCCUGUCUGAGUCUGUAAUACCAACAUGUUUUAAGCAGACCCCCAUAGUGCCUGUGCCCAAGAACACCAAGGUAACCUGCCUAAACGACUACCGAACCGUAGCACUCACGUCUGUAGCCAUGAAGUGCUUCGAAAGGAUGGUCAUGGCUCACAUCAACACCAUUAUCCCAGAAACCCUAGACCCACUCCAAUUUGCAUACGUCCGCAACAGAUCCACAGAUGAUGCAAUCUCUAUUGCGCUCCACACUGCCCUUUCCCACCUGGACAAAAGGAACACCUAUGGGAGAAUGCGAUUCAUUGACUACAGCUCAGUGUUCAACACCAUAGUGCCCUCAAAGCUCAUCAAUAAGCUAAGGACCCUGGGACUAAACACCUUCCUCUGCAACUGGAUCCUGGACUUCCUGACGGGCCACCGCCAGGUGGUAAGGGUAGGUAACAACACGUCCACCACACUGAUCCUCAACACAGAGGCCCCUCAGGGGUCUGUGCUCAAUCCUCUCCUGUACUCCCUGUUGACUCAUGACUGCACGGCCAGGCAUGACUCCAACACCAUCAUUAAGUUUGCUGAUGACACAACAGUGGUAGGCCUGAUCACCGACAACAUCGAGACAGCCUAUAGGGAGGAGGUCAGAGACCAGGCUGUGUGGUGCAAGGACAACAACCUCUCCCUCAACGUGAUCAAGACAAAGGAGAUGAUUGUGGACUACAGGAAAAAGAGGACCGAGCACACCCCCAUUCUCAUCGACGGGGCUGCAGUGGAGCAGGUUGAGAGCUUCAAGUUCCUUGGUGUCCACAUCAUCAACAAACUAACAUUUUUUUAUUUAUUUUUUAUUUAA
rnacentral:lncRNA from 8 species